rnacentral:rRNA from 1 species
AGAAGCGAGACGGAGACGUUAAGCGAAACCCAAAAAAAGUAAGUCUCAGUUCGGAUUGAAGGCUGAAAUUCGCCUUCAUGAAGCCGGAAUUGCUAGUAAUGGCAGGUCAGCAUACUGCCGUGAAUACGUUCCCGGGCCUUGUACACACCGCCCGUCACACCAUGAGAGUUGGGAAUACCCGAAGCCUGUGAGCUAACGUAAGAGGCAGCAGUCGAAGGUAGAAUCAAUGAUUGGGGUGAAGUCGUAACAAGGUAUC